ACGAAGGGGGCUAGCGUUGUUCGGAAUCACUGGGCGUAAAGCGCAUGCAGGCGGAUUGUUAAGUCGGGGGUGAAAUCCCGAGGCUCAACCUCGGAACUGCCUUCGAUACUGGCAAUCUUGAGUCCGGGAGAGGUGAGUGGAACUGCGAGUGUAGAGGUGAAAUUCGUAGAUAUUCGCAAGAACACCAGUGGCGAAGGCGGCUCACUGGCCCGGUACUGACGCUGAGGUGCGAAAGCGUGGGGAGCAAACAGGA
rnacentral:rRNA from 1 species